GGUCUUCUACCAGUUGGAAUUAAGCUGUUAGAAUGAUGUUCCCCUGCCAAUCUCAGGGCAGGAGGAGCAG
rnacentral:sRNA from 1 species